GUCGCUUCUCAGCCUUUUGGCUGAGAUCAAGUGUAGUAUCUGUUCUUAUCAGUUUAAUAUCUGAUACGUCCCCCAUGGAGGGGUCCACAUAUUAAACGGAUUUUUGGAACAAGGAGCCGGAAGUGGGGCUUGCCCCGUCCGCUCCACGCAUCGACCCGUAUUGCAGUGCUUCUGGGAACGGUGCACCUCUA
rnacentral:snRNA from 1 species